GACGAACGCUGGCGGCGUGCCUAAUACAUGCAAGUAGAACGCUGAAGGAGGAGCUUGCUUCUCUGGAUGAGUUGCGAACGGGUGAGUAACGCGUAGGUAACCUGCCUGGUAGCGGGGGAUAACUAUUGGAAACGAUAGCUAAUACCGCAUAAUAGCAGUUAUUGCAUGAUAACUGUUUGAAAGGUGCAAUUGCACCACUACCAGAUGGACCUGCGUUGUAUUAGCUAGUUGGUGGGGUAACGGCUCACCAAGGCGACGAUACAUAGCCGACCUGAGAGGGUGAUCGGCCACACUGGGACUGAGACACGGCCCAGACUCCUACGGGAGGCAGCAGUAGGGAAUCUUCGGCAAUGGACGGAAGGCUGACCGAGCAACGCCGCGUGAGUGAAGAAGGUUUUCGGAUCGUAAAGCUCUGUUGUAAGAGAAGAACGAGUGUGAGAGUGGAAAGUUCACACUGUGACGGUAUCUUACCAGAAAGGGACGGCUAACUACGUG
rnacentral:rRNA from 1 species